CCUACGGGGGGCAGCAGUGGGGAAUAUUGGACAAUGGGGGCAACCCUGAUCCAGCCAUGCCGCGUGUGUGAAGAAGGCCCUCGGGUUGUAAAGCACUUUCAGUGAGGAAGAACGCCUGGUGGUUAAUACCCAUCAGGAAAGACAUCACUCACAGAAGAAGCACCGGCUAACUCCGUGCCAGCAGCCGCGGUAAUACGGAGGGUGCGAGCGUUAAUCGGAAUUACUGGGCGUAAAGCGCGCGUAGGUGGCUUGAUAAGCCGGUUGUGAAAGCCCCGGGUUCAACCUGGGAACGGCAUCCGGAACUGUCAAGCUAGAGUGCAGGAGAGGAAGGUAGAAUUCCCGGUGUAGCGGUGAAAUGCGUAGAGAUCGGGAGGAAUACCAGUGGCGAAGGCGGCCUUCUGGACUGACACUGACACUGAGGUGCGAAAGCGUGGGUAGCAAACAGGAUUAGAUACCCUUGUAGUC
rnacentral:rRNA from 1 species